GUUCCUGUAGCGGAGUGGUUACCGCGUGACUCUUAUAGAUCAAGGACUUCUUUUGGCUCUAUGGUGUAAUGUCAAGGUCCGGGGUUCGACCCCCCGCAGGAACA